rnacentral:lncRNA from 1 species
AGUGUUAUGUUGGCGGUGCGACUGGGACCUUGGAGGGGCGAAUGCUUGAGCAUGGGGCAGAUGUCGCAGCAGGUAGAUUAACCACAGCAUAUGACCAGGAUGUAGCGAUGGACUGGCCGAAUGCCAGCUUGAUCAGGUGUGUUACUGGCUCUAAAGGCCUUGUUGCGUUUGAGGCAACAGAUUUGCACCAUAUAGCACAGCAUAAGGGCGUCAUUGAUGCUGACAGCCCGGUGGGGCUCCCCUGCUCAUGGAAGUGGUGUGCGAUGGAAGGAUUGUGAAUGGGAAUAAAAGUGUGAGGUUCGCAAUGCGAAACGGGGUUGGGAGUAAGAUGAAGAUGGCUUUAAGAUGGAGUGGGAUAGGACCUGAGUAGUUCU